rnacentral:tRNA from 1 species
GAAUGACAACCCCCGGUUUCGGCCCGGAUACAGGCAUGCUAUGUGCCCAUUCU